rnacentral:misc_RNA from 1 species
GAUGAAGAACGCAGCGAAAUGCGAUAAGUAAUGUGAAUUGCAGAAUUCAGUGAAUCAUCGAAUCUUUGAACGCACAUUGCGCCCCCUGGUAUUCCGGGGGGCAUGCCUGUCCGAGCGUCAUUACAACCCUCAAGCUCAGCUUGGUGUUGGGCCCCGCCGCCCCGGCGGGCCCUAAAGUCAGUGGCGGUGCCGUCCGGCUCCGAGCGUAGUAAUUCUUCUCGCUCUGGAGGUCCGGUCGUGUGCUCGCCAGCAACCCCCAAUUUUUUUCAGGUUGACCUCGCAUCAGGUAGGGAUACCCGCUGAACUUAAGCAUAUCAAUAAGCGGAGGA